GGCGACUAUAGUUCUGACCUAGGCCCUGAUAAGGAUGAGGCCACAGGUUCAAAUCCUGUUAGCCCCACCA
rnacentral:tRNA from 1 species